CAGACGGCAACAAGUUGAACUGGGUACAAAGGUGGAGUUGCGUGUUUAGCAGGCUGAGGUAAAUAGAAUGCUUCUCCUAAAAGCAAAUCGCCAAAGAAGGGCCACACCGAGGGACAUCCCAAUCAUUACUACAUCGAAUGGCCCGUGAGAGCAAGUAUAAAGAGCAGGUGCGUGACACAAUUUAUCAGAAGCGUGUAACUGCAGCGAAUCGGCUGCUUAUAUAGGAGGCUUAGCAUGCACUUCUGUAGGAUUUCGUUUUAUUCACUGGGAAAAAAGAGUGCUCUCUCCUAUUCAAAAGAUAUUCUGAAUAAAAUGUGCUGCGCAGGUUGGCGUUAACUUGCUUUUCGCUAUUUUCGCGCUGCAAAAAAAAUAAAAAAAAAUAAAAGUACAUUUUUAUGCGCGGUGCACUUACAAGUUGUCCUAUAUUGUCAAUUAUUACAAAGACUGUAUAAGUUCACGCAUCUGUGAGUCAAAUUUCAUGUUAUUGACAAGAUGCAAGAGUUCUAAAUAGUAGAAUGUAAAUUAUCGAAUUGCAGAAAUUAGACAUCAAAUUUCAAAAGAGGGCAUAACUGUUGUAGAGUAUAUUGACGUUCAACAUAAACUGUGCGAUAAAAGAUCUUGUUGUUUUCAAAAUAAUAAAAAUGUGCACAUGCCCCUGGUUACCUUUUUUUGGCCACAAGGUGAUAUAUUGUAAUUAAACAAAUUAAAUAACGAUAUAAAUACAUAAAUAACCUAUAGGGCUAAUGGCUUCUGAAGAAAAGAACAAGCAUCCCUGCUCAACAAAAAGAGAUGCUGAGAUGAAGCUUGCACGACAUGAAAUGUAUGAACUCAUAUCUGCGGAAAAAAAGGGACUGCUAUUAUUACAACGACGAACAAACGGACGAGUUCAAAAGAAAUCCUCAUCUAAGGGACAUUUCUUCUGUUUCUGCACCAGGUGAUAUGACUAAACUUUUCUUGUUUACUUUUUUGGCUCAAGUAAAUUGGGGAAUUUGUACAUGCGAUUAUAGUUAAAUGACACUAAAUGCGUGUUCUAUUACAUGUGUUAGCCAAUGAAUCUCACCUUGCGGCUUUGGCAGUUACCUCUGACAAGUAAAAGAAUAUAACUCCUUUGUUCCCUGUGUAUGAAGUAGGUAAGACUGCUUUUUAUCUUUGUGAUGCAAUUACUAUACGAAACUAAUUUAUAAACUUUUGACAUUAGGCUCGACAUCAUUACAUCUAACUCAAAAUGUGAUAUGAGUUCAAGGAUUAUUCAAAAUAAAGGUUCGCGCCAGAUUUUCCAACAAUUUACAUCAAACAGCAGUUUGAACAUCAACUAUGUGAUCGACUCUUAUUUCAGACAGUUGUUAGGUAAGGACCUUAACGGUAUGGGUCUCAACGAACUAUGGCUGCUUGAACAUCAACUAAUGGAAGGGCUAUUAGCCAUAAAGAACAGAAAGGAGGAAUUGCUGAUACAACAACUAGAGCAUUCAAGGAGACAGUUAGAUGAGCUCCGAGGGUUAUUUCCUAUGACACAUUCAAUUUUAAAAGAGGGUGAGAAGGGUCAGUAGACAACGAAUUUUCCAACAGAACCUUGCAAUUAGGGCUUCCAAACACUGUUAGUCAAAAGCGAAAGGAACCUGAGAUGGGAUUUGCUUCAAGCAAUUCAGAGAAUCAAGUCAGCUCAACGUGACACUUGUCUUUCGUGACUAGCUCGUUCCCUCCUUUGUUAGGUACAUGUCAGGGGAAAUGAUUUUGAACCAGUUUUCACAUUAAAAGCAGGUUCAUCUGGACCUUUGAUAUUGUCAAGGACUUAAUGAUCCCCCAGAUGGCUUGAGCAAGAUGAAGAUGCCGGUUAAAUUUUGAUUUUGAACAAUCCCUUUUGACAAAUGUGUUCCAACAACUUCAUAUGUAUUUUCUUCCGUUCUUGGAGAUGCAUUAGGCAUUUUGAUUAACAAGGUUACCCUGAAAGUGAAACAAUCAUAACCUACAAGGCAUGAUGGUUAUAGAAAGCUGAUGAAGCAACUUUAAUUGUACUGUACAGUUAGUGGUCCAUUUCAUUGUUAAG